GACUAUUAUUCACGAGUGUCCAUUAGAAAACACAUUCAUUGGCUGUGUACACAAUAUUCAUUCACACUUACAUGAAGUGAGAGUUUUCUAACCUACAUCUGCUUACAUCCAUCAUCAUCGUCGUUGUAACGAACUUGUCAACAAACGUCCUGUUACAUUCCUUUUAUCUCGAAUAAAAUGUCUAAUGCUGAAGUUAGAAUCCAAAAGGCGUUCCACAUUCUGUCACAAGAGGCAAAAGAGUUGUAUUUGCAAAGCGAAGUUGCAGAAAUAAAUCAUUCAAUUACACCACUCGUCUUCUAUCGAGAGUACGUCUCGAAGAACAUACCAUUAGUCAUAAGAAAUGCGGUAAAACAUUGGCCUGCAAUAGAUAAAUGGUCUAUACCAUAUUUUCACAAGGUGCUUGGCGACGAAAAAGUCUCGGUCGCUGUAACGCCAAAUGGUUAUGCGGAUGCAAUAGCUAAAAGAGAUGGCGAUGCCAAAGAAUUUUUUGUAAUGCCCGAAGAACGUUUAAUCACAAUAUCAACAUUUCUUGACAUGUUGGAGAACACAAAAGACGACAGUGUAUUUUACAUACAAAAACAAAAUUCGAAUUUUAUGCACAGCUUUUGUAAGUUGUGGCCGGACGCAGAACACGAGAUAACCUGGGCCAGCGAAGCUUUUGGAAAGCAGCCUGAUGCUGUAAACUUUUGGAUGGGAGACGAAAGAGCUGUAACUUCUAUGCACAAAGAUCCUUAUGAAAAUAUAUAUUGUGUCGUAUCCGGCGAAAAGAACUUUAUUUUACAUCCUCCCACGGAUUUACCAUGGAUACCAUAUCGAAAUUAUCCAUCUGCAAUUUACAAAGAAUGUGAGCCUGGGAAAUGGAUUAUCAAAUCGAUAAUUAAUGAAAUGCCCAAUUCACAAGGAAUCACAAAUCUCACAUCAACGCCAUGGAUAUGUGUAGAUCCUCUAAAUCCAGACUAUAAAAAGUUACGCACAUAUUAAUAAAUUUAUUUUCAAAAUGACAUUUAUUUUAAAGAUUAAGAAGAAACCAAUUUAUUUAUAGAUAUCCAGAAUAUCGUAAUACACACAGUUUGAAAGUCACACUCAGAGCUGGAGACGUAUUAUACUUGCCGUCCUUAUGGUUCCAUCACGUAACACAGUCUCAUGCUUGUAUAUCCAUCAAUUAUUGGUACGAUAUGGAAUUCGAUAUUAAGUAUGCCUACUUCAAAGCACUCGAGACAUUGUGUAAAUGAACAAAAGUUAGAAUGUUGUGCCUUUUACAAAACUGCCACAAGACUAUAAGAAAAUUUAAAUCAGGCUGUAUCGUCGUUAUCCUCAGUACUUUCUGUAAUUGUUCUCACGUUUUCUCCGCUGCUCCUCCGCCUGUUGCCGCAAUCUUUCAGGAUUCAUAUGUGUGGUCACCAUAUGCCUCGUUAAUGAACUCAUGAAUUUGUAUGUAAUUCCACAUACAUCGCAGGAAAGUAUUUCCUCAUUUCCUCCCUGUUGCUAUUUGUAAAAAAAAAAAAAAUAAUUUACAGUACCUCAAAUCCAAAUAAAAAGAUUACAAACGUGCAAAAAAAUAUAAAAUUAUGCAAA